rnacentral:ncRNA from 2 species
GCAUCGGUGGUUCAGUGGUAGAAUGCUCGCCUG